AUUGAACGCUGGCGGCGGGCCUAACACAUGCAAGUCGAACGAGUGGCGGACGGGAGAGUAAUGUAUGGGACACUGCCUGAUGGAGGGGGAUAACUCGUGGAAACGGUAGCUAAUACCGCAUACCAUCGGAUGAGCCCAGAUGGGAUUAGCUAGUAGGGGGGGUAACGGCUCACCUAGGCGACGAUCCAUAGCUGGUAUGAGAGGAUGACCGGCCACACUGGAACUGAGACACGGUCCAGACUCCUACGGGAGGCAGCAGUGGGGAAUAUUGCGCAAUGGGCGAAAGCCUGAUGCAGCCAUGCCGCGUGGAUGAAGAAGGCCUUCGGGUUGUAAAGCACUUUCAGCGGGGAGGCGUUACCCGCAGAAGAAGCACCGGCUAACUCCGUGCCAGCAGCCGCGGUAAUAC
rnacentral:rRNA from 1 species